rnacentral:rRNA from 1 species
CCCUUAGAUGUUCUGGGCCGCACGCGCGCUACACUGAUGCAUUCAACGAGUCUAAAACCUGCUCUGAUAGGGGUGGGUAAUCUUUUGAAUGUGCAUCGUGAUUGGGAUAGAUGGUUGCAAUUUUUCAUCUUCAACGAGGAAUGCCUAGUAAACGCAAGUCAUCAGCUUGCAUUGAUUACGUCCCUGCCCUUUGUACACACCGCCCGUCGCUCCUACCGAUUGAAUGAUCCGAUGAAUAUCAUGGAUUGAGGAUGCAAGUAGGUUAGCCUAUCUUCAUCUUCGAGAAGUGAAGUAAAUCUUAUCAUUUAGAGGAAGGAGAAGUCGUAACA